GUAAAUACCCUAUAAAAAGCUCUCCCCUUUGCUUCUUUGGUCUCAAACAAUGGCAAAUACCCUUCACUCCCCAUCUCUCUCCUUUCUUUCUCUCUAACCACAAGAAUGGCUUCUUCCACCAAUGAAUAUACACCUUUAUUAUGAAGGAAUGAGAAUUGGGUGGAUUGAUUGAUGGGUGGGGUCCAAAGGGUUGCAGCAAAAAGAAGCAAAAUCUAUGGAAAUGAAGAGAUGAGUGGUGGGGGGGCAGAGCAGUUAGCAGCAGGAGCAAAUUCAAGGGUUAUCUGUGAUACAAACAAGAAAUGGGAAAGAGAGAUUGGGUUUGGUGGCUCUGUCAAUUGUUUUGAAUCUUUUGAUAAGAAGAUGAAAUAUGGGUCUUCUUUGUACAAUUUCUUGUUGAUUAUCCUUUUUUCUUCUUAAACAAUUGCUUUUAUUUGUCCUA